CAGCCGCCGCGGUAAUACGUAGGUGGCAAGCGUUGUCCGGAAUUAUUGGGCGUAAAGGGCUCGCAGGCGGUUUCUUAAGUCUGAUGUGAAAGCCCCCGGCUCAACCGGGGAGGGUCAUUGGAAACUGGGAAACUUGAGUGCAGAAGAGGAGAGCGGAAUUCCACGUGUAGCGGUGAAAUGCGUAGAGAUGUGGAGGAACACCAGUGGCGAAGGCGACUCUCUGGUCUGUAACUGACGCUGAGGAGCGAAAGCGUGGGGAGCGAACAGGAUUAGAUACCCCAGUAGUCCCUGUCUCUUAUAC
rnacentral:rRNA from 1 species